GCCAGAGUGGCGAAAUUGGUAGACGCAGCGGACUCAAAAUCCGCCGACUUCACGGUCUUGUCGGUUCGAGUCCGACCUCUGGUA
rnacentral:tRNA from 1 species